rnacentral:rRNA from 1 species
GCCCAGACCACCAGCUAAGGUCCCAAAAUAUAUGUUAAGUGGAAAAGGAUGUGGCGUUGCCCAGACAACUAGGAUGUUGGCUUAGAAGCAGCCAUCAUUUAAAGAGUGCGUAAUAGCUCACUAGUCGAGUGACACUGCGCCGAAAAUGUACCGGGGCUAAACAUAUUACCGAAGCUGUGGAUUGUCCUUUGGACAAUGGUAGGAGAGCGUUCUAAGG